CAAUAGCGUAUAUUAAAGUUGUUGCAGUUAAAAAGCUCGUAGUUGAAUUUUUGCUUGCCGCCGAUUUCGGAACUUCCGUACGUUCGGCGGCGUGCAUCCUUGGGUGGAACCUGUGUGGCAUUAGGUUGUCGUGCAGGGGAUGCUCAUCGUUUACUGUGAAAAAAUUAGAGUGUUCAAAGCAGGCUUACGCCGUUGAAUAUAUUAGCAUGGAAUAAUAAGAUAGGACCUUGGUACUAUUUUGUUGGUUUGCGCACCGAGGUAAUGAUUAACAGGGACAGUUGGGGGUAUUCGUAUUCCAUUGUCAGAGGUGAAAUUCUUGGAUUUCUGGAAGACGAACUACUGCGAAAGCAUUUACCAAGGAUGUUUUCAUUAA
rnacentral:rRNA from 1 species